GAACCACCUGAUCCCAUCCCGAACUCAGAAGUGAAACAGACCUGCGCCGAUGGUAGUGUGGUUCGCCCAUGUGAGAGUAGGUCAUCGUCAGGC
rnacentral:rRNA from 1 species